rnacentral:rRNA from 1 species
UGAGCAAUCUGCCCUUCUCUUUGGAAUAAGCGUUGGAAACGACGUCUAAUGCCGAAUACGACCUCCUUUCGCAUGAUCGGAGGUGGAAAGCUCCGGCGGAGAAGGAUGAGCUCGCGGCCUAUCAGCUAGUUGGUGUGGGUAAUGGCCCACCAAGGCGACGACGGGUAGCCGGCCUGAGAGGGUGACCGGCCACACGUGGGACUGAGACACCGGCCCAGACCUCCGUACGGGACGGCGC